GAAUGUGAGGGUGAUCUGCCUGCAACAUCUGUCACCCCACUGAUCGCCAGCGUUGAUUUGGCUGGUCUGGCUGGCUAGGCGGGUGUCCCCUUCCUCCCUCAUGGCUCCAUGUGUGUCCCUCCCAAAGCUGCGUGCUCCGUGACAAAGGAUGAUCUUCCGAAUAGAGGAGGAUUGGUCUUCGGUCAAAAGUAUAUGAGUAACUGAGCUCCUCUAGCAUCAAAAUAGAAGACAGACUAGAUGGAAAGAAGGGAUUCAGUGGAG
rnacentral:snRNA from 1 species